CCUACGGGAGGCUGCAGUGGGGAAUAUUGCACAAUGGGCGCAAGCCUGAUGCAGCCAUGCCGCGUGUGUGAAGAAGGCCUUCGGGUUGUAAAGCACUUUCAGCGGGGAGGAAGGCGUUAAGGUUAAUAACCUUGGCGAUUGACGUUACCCGCAGAAGAAGCACCGGCUAACUCCGUGCCAGCAGCCGCGGUAAUACGGAGGGUGCAAGCGUUAAUCGGAAUUACUGGGCGUAAAGCGCACGCAGGCGGUCUGUCAAGUCGGAUGUGAAAUCCCCGGGCUCAACCUGGGAACUACAUUCGAAACUGGCAGGCUAGAGUCUUGUAGAGGGGGGUAGAAUUCCAGGUGUAGCGGUGAAAUGCGUAGAGAUCUGGAGGAAUACCGGUGGCGAAGGCGGCCCCCUGGACAAAGACUGACGCUCAGGUGCGAAAGCGUGGGGAGCAAACAGGAUUAGAUACCCGUGUAGUC
rnacentral:rRNA from 1 species